UGGGCAGGAGACCUGCACUGCCUCGGAAGAAGAGAGCUUGAGACACAAUUUUUCUGAUACUUUUUUCUUUUUUUUGUGAUAUUAGAGCGCUUUACCAAUUUCUCUUUUAUUAACUGACUCGUUAUGAGAUUUUUUUUUCUCUAAUUUAGUCUAUUGAGGAAGUUCUUCACAUGAAUAAUGGUUACUUCUUACUAUUUGAUUUACUUUGAGAUGGAAAUGCAUGACUGGAGAUGGAUUUUU
rnacentral:misc_RNA from 1 species